rnacentral:rRNA from 1 species
GACGAACGCUGGCGGCGUGCCUAAUACAUGCAAGUAGAACGCUGAAGGAGGAGCUUGCUCUUCUGGAUGGGUUGCGAACGGGUGAGUAACGCGUAGGUAACCUGCCUGGUAGCGGGGGAUAACUAUUGGAAACGAUAGCUAAUACCGCAUAAUAGUAGAUGUUGCAUGAUAUUUACUUAAAAGGUGCAAUUGCACCACUACCAGAUGGACCUGCGUUGUAUUAGCUAGUUGGUGGGGUAACGGCUCACCAAGGCGACGAUACAUAGCCGACCUGAGAGGGUGAUCGGCCACACUGGGACUGAGACACGGCCCAGACUCCUACGGGAGGCAGCAGUAGGGAAUCUUCGGCAAUGGACGAAAGUCUGACCGAGCAACGCCGCGGGAGUGAAGAAGGUUGUCGGAUCGUAAAGCUCGGUUGUAAGAGAAGAACGAGUGUGAGAGUGGAAAGUUCACACUGUGACGGUAGCUUACCAGAAAGGGACGGCUAACUACGUG